rnacentral:rRNA from 1 species
AACGAACGCUGGCGGCGUGCCUAACACAUGCAAGUCGAACGAGAAAGGGGCUUCGGCUCCGAGUAAAGUGGCGCACGGGUGAGUAACACGUGGGUAACCUGCCUCUAAGAUUGGGAUAACUCGUCGAAAGAUGAGCUAAUACCGAAUAAGACCACAGUUCCCGCGGGAACAGGGGUCAAAGGUAGCCUCUGCUUGCAAGCUAUCACUUAGAGAUGGGCCUGCGCACCAUUAGCUAGUUGGUAGGGUAACGGCCUACCAAGGCAAAGAUGGUUAGCUGGUCUGAGAGGAUGAUCAGCCACACUGGAACUGAGACACGGUCCAGACUCCUACGGGAGGCAGCAGUGGGGAAUAUUGCGCAAUGGGCGAAAGCUUGACGCAGCAACGCCGCGUGAGUGAUGAAGGCCUUCGGGUCGUAAAGCUCUGGCGGGAGGAACGAAUGCUCCUGAGGUUAACAGCCUCGGGAGGUGACGGUACCUUCAAAGGAAGCACCGGCUAACUCUGUG